CUCGCGCACACGCGCUCCGCUCCGCUCCCCGCUCCCCUUCGCCUCUCCGGCUCCCUGCGUCCCUCCCUCUUCCCUCUCAGUUUGUUACCGACCCAGCAGCCCGGUCCCCUCCGCGCAGCGCCGCGGGCACUCCACCCCCCGCACGCCAGAUGGGGUCCCGGAUCGGAGCCCGCACGCCUGGCCGAAGGGUCUGGAUUUAGAGCCACCUGAUCUAAGGGCUCAGCAUCCAAGGCAAGAAGCUGCUGUAGCUGGAACCCCUGAGCUGAUGAGUCUUAUUAUAGACUGGCUGGCUGAAGACAGAGCGUCAAGUUUCACCUCCAAGGCAACAGUGGGGGUGGAAGCAGGGGGCCUCCUGGUGGCUCACGCAGGACCAGUCAGGGGACUCUGUGAAGGGCCUGGCCUCUGGCUCCCAGGUGCCAUGGAUUGACAGGCAGUGCACACCAAGGGGCUUCUCUGUCCCCAGAGCUGC
rnacentral:lncRNA from 1 species